UGGGCAAUAAAGAAAUAAAAUUUGGGAAUUAGGGAAAUUUAGCUCAAUCUUUUGAAAAAAAAAGAAUGUAUUAUGGAUUUUUUAAAAAUCUAAAGGUACUAGUCGAACUCCUGGUGUGAAAAUGAAAAUAAUGUUUCAAACAGUCUGAUAUAUUGAACAAGGAGUAUAAUUUUUAAUUGUUCAGGCAAGUUAAAAAACAAUAGCUACAUAUCUAUAUGAAAAGAAACAAUUCAGGGAUCAUUUGGUUAAUUCGUUUUCAUAGUGAAAUUAAUAGUUAGUGAUUGUGUGCCCAAGAUAGCAUUGCCCUUUCACAAGAUCAUUUAUUGUCAUGUGUAAUAUAGAAAGUGCCAUAAAAUUAGUUGUCUUCAGUGGUGGCUAAAAUUUUUGAAGAUUAAAGACAUGAUGAAUGAUCUCCCUUUUACGACUCAACGAGAAAGUAGCAACGUAUAUGUUUUAUGGUCAACGUCUAGAUGUCAUUAAAUGCAUUUUAUGUUAUUUUAAAAUGUAGUUCAAAUUUACAAGUUUAUCUUUUGCUUUAGUAUUUUUGUAGGGUUUGUAACUUGUUAAAUAUUAUUAAAUGUCUCAUUUUGAUGUGAAAAUAGUAAAUAAAUCUUAAAUCAAAUCAUUUCAAAGUAUUGGUCAUAGAAACUCCAUACAAAUUAUUUAAAAAUAAAACCUGUUGAUGAAAUAUAUAAUUUUUAAUUCAAUAUUGCUACUUUAAAACUAAAAAAAAAAAAUACCAAGAGAUUAAAAACGAAAACCAACUACUGGCGUUGUAACAGCUUUCGUGUGACUCCUGCAGUCCAUCAUCAACAGGUGUCAACUGGAGAAUGACUAGACCAUGGAAAAAACCGAGUAUUUCUACUAUCUCAGAAUUGCUUUUAGAGGAAAGAGAUAAAACUGAGCUGUAGGAGAGGGAGCACGCCAUCUUGUUAGCUGAUGGUCUUUGAAAGGCUUACUGUUAUAACAAAUUUUGACUAAUUACCAAUAAAUACUCUCAAAGCGAAAUCCAUAUAAGAUGUUAGUAACAUUUUUCACAAAACCAAAAGCUUUAUUAUUGUUGGUUUCAUAUCAAAUAAUACUUCAUCUUAUGCGGACAUAGUAUAUCUGGACAAAAGUAUAUUCAUGAAAAUAUACUUUUUGUGCAUAAUGAGAAAUAUGCUCAAAAGGUUGGAUUUUUUUCCUGUACAUUUAACUGCAUAUGUCUUACAAUGAUAACUCAUAUUAAUUUUUGAUAUAGCUUCAGUUAUUACUAUCGUUGUCUUUGUGUUGCGUUUUUUAUUGUGCAGUCAUUGCAAGUUAUUGUCCUUGAUAUGCCUAUAAGUCUGUCUUUGUUUCUGUAACCCAUGGAGAGUUUUGUAGGCGUUGAGUAAGAAGACCCAAAUUUGCUAUAAGACAAACCCCACUUAAUGAUAAAGAUGUCAGGAAAAUUUUUCAAUUUCGGUAACCAAACAGAAACAAUGGCAAAAUUUUGGUAAUUUGAAAUCAAAAUAAUCUUGAUCACGUAGUAUUGUGGCUGUCAUGAAAUUCCAGACAUGUUUUUUCCUUGUAAUCAUUGAAGAUGUCAUAUACCUUCAGUUAAAAGGAAAGAUGUUGUGAGCU
rnacentral:lncRNA from 1 species